rnacentral:tRNA from 1 species
UGCCGGGUCGUCUAACUGGCAGGACGCGUGGCUCUGGACCACGCGGUGGAGGUUCGAGUCCUUCCCCGGCAGCCA